GGAGGUGGACACUCAGUGGUAGAGUACCUACUUAGCAUGCAUAAGGUCCUGGGUUCAAUCCCCAGUACCUCCU
rnacentral:tRNA from 1 species